AGAGUUUGAUCCUGGCUCAGAGCGAACGCUGGCGGCGUGCUUAACACAUGCAAGUCGAGUGCGCGCCUGUAGCAAUACAGGUGGCGCACGGCGCACGGGUGCGUAACACGUGGGUAAUCUGCCCUUCGAUGGGGAAUAACUCCGGGAAACCGAAGCUAAUUCCGCAUAACAUUCCUUGAACUUCGGUUUGGGGAUUCAAAGCCGUAAGGCGUCGGAGGAGGAACCCGCGCACGAUUAGCUAGUUGGUAGGGUAACGGCCUACCAAGGCUUUGAUCGUUAGCUGGUCUGAGAGGAUGGCCAGCCACACUGGAACUGAGACACGGUCCAGACUCCUACGGGAGGCAGCAGUGGGGAAUCUUGCACAAUGGGCGAAAGCCUGAUGCAGCGACGCCGCGUGGGGGAUGAAGCUUUUCGGAGUGUAAACCCCUUUCGACCCGGACGAAUACCUCGCAAGAGGGGUGACGGUACGGGUAUAAGAAGCCCCGGCUAACUACGUGCCAGCAGCCGCGGUAAGACGUGGGGGGCCAGCGUUGCUCGGAAUUACUGGGUGUAAAGGGUUCGUAGGCGGUGUAGCAAGUCGGGAGUGAAAUCUCUGGGCUCAACCCAGAGACUGCUUCCGAAACUGCUGUGCUUGAGUGUGGGAGAGGCGCGUGGAAUUGCAGGUGUAGCGGUGAAAUGCGUAGAUAUCUGCAGGAACACCCGUGGCGAAAGCGGCGCGCUGGACCACUACUGACGCUGAGGAACGAAAGCUAGGGGAGCAAACAGGAUUAGAUACCCUGGUAGUCCUAGCCCUAAACGAUCAGGACUUGGGGUGCCGCACGUUCGUGCGUCGUCCCGGAGCUAACGCGUUAAGUCCUGCACCUGGGGAGUACGGUCGCAGACUGAACUUAAAGGAUUGACGGGGGCCCCGCACAGC
rnacentral:rRNA from 1 species